GUGAAUCAUCAAAUCUUUGAACGCAAAUUGCGCCUUUUUCGGAAGGCAUGUCUGUUUGAGGGCACCAUUUAACAAAUAAUGUGCAUGCUGUGUGUAUUUUUACCCACACGUUCACACGUUGAUCAGCCUUUCCAAAAAAAGAAAAUUUUUUUGCUGCACAUAAUGAACAGCGCGAGCUUUCCUUCAAAUCUUCCGAGAGUAGUAAAAUUUUUUUUCGGC
rnacentral:misc_RNA from 1 species